UUUCUCAAAACUGACCGGUUGGUUGAAGAUUUUAUUUAGAGUAAGGAAACCAGGGGAGUAAGCCAAAUCGGCAAUGACAUGUAUAACGCUAACCAAGCCAGGGCGGUUGCCAGGCUCAAAUGAACGUUGAAGCCGAGAUUGGUAAGAACAUGGUAAGAAAAUACCCAGGCUGAGAGUCAAUUAAAAACUUCUUUAUUUUGCUCUUUUGUUUAAAUAAAGGUAGAAUUGAUGUAUGUACCACAGCAAGCCGCACAAGCAUGUAACUAUAAGAAGCAUGUAAAUUAGACUUUCUUAUAAAGCAAAGUGAUUGCUCUGUUAUGCCCACCAUUCCAAAAACGUGAUUUCUUACAUACAGGUACCAAGGAUGAAGCCUCUUCCCUGAAGGAUCGACUACACCCCGGGGAAAUAAAAGGCAAAAGGCCGAGAAGAGGUCCAAAGAAUUAAUUAAAAUGAAAGAUAUCGAAUCAGCGGAGUUAAGGGGCAUCUAACGAGAGCAUGUUUUAAAAGUAAAAACAUCUAAAACACCUAUCUGUGUUUCCAGACUUUAUGUGCCCUUAUAAGGACAUAUUUACAUGAUAAAAAUUUCCCCAAAGUAACAAGCCAUUGUUAUCGUUAUUGUUAUUGUGUCUGACAUUUUACCUCAGGGGAGUCUAAAAUGGAACUUCUGGGCAACAGACGGAAUUAUUUUUGCUUUUAAAAAUAUUUUCCGUUUUCUCAUUCUAGCUGAUAAUUUCGAUGAAUUUACCUAUAUAUUAAAUAAUUCAGGUCUGAAGUGUUAAAAUUGCAAUUGCUUCGUUGUAGUUGUUGGGUCCAACAUUGUGAACACGUGUUAAGACCGUAUCAGGCGCAAUGUGAAACUAUCGUGUUAAUUCUCACCAAUCGGGACAACUUAAAUUUGACCUAUGAAGACAACCUGAGUUACAUUUCGUAAAGAAUUAAAAAGACUGCAGCUGAAAUGACAAGUUUCUUUCACAUGUGGCAGAUCAUGAAACUGUAUCUAAGUUUUUGUGUUCGUUUUACAAUUAGUGUUUGCCGUUGUUGCUUCUCGCUUGUUGAAAAACCCCUGCUGCAAAAUUUUAUCUGCAGAGGUAGCAAAGUUCAAUUCAUUGUCUGUAAGAUGUAUUGAAAUAAACACAAAAAGAAACGUUUAAUUAAGUUGUCAGU